rnacentral:rRNA from 1 species
AUUGAACGCUGGCGGAAUGCUUUACACAUGCAAGUCGAACGGCAGCACGGACUUCGGUCUGGUGGCGAGUGGCGAACGGGUGAGUAGUGUAUCGGAACGUGCCCAGUCGUGGGGGAUAACGUAGUGAAAAUUACGCUAAUACCGCAUACGAUCUAUGGAUGAAAGCGGGGGAUCGCAAGACCUCGCGCGAUUGGAGCGGCCGAUAUCAGAUUAGGUAGUUGGUGGGGUAAAGGCCCACCAAGCCAACGAUCUGUAGCUGGUCUGAGAGGACGAGCAACCCCACUGGAACAGGGACCGGGUCCAGACUCCUACGGGAGGCAGAAGUGGGGAAUCUUGGACAAUGGGCGAAAGCCUGUCCCAGCCAUUCGGCGUGCAGGAUGAAGGCCUCGGGUUGUAAACUGCUUUUGUACAGAACGAAAAGGUUUCUACUAAUACUAGGAGCUCAUGACGGUACUGUAAGAAUAAGCACCGGCUAACUACGUGCCAGCAGCCGCCGUAA